rnacentral:rRNA from 1 species
AGAGUUUGAUCCUGGCUCAGGACGAACGCUGGCGGCGUGCCUAACACAUGCAAGUCGAGCGAUGAAGUUUCCUGCGGGAAAUGGAUUAGCGGCGGACGGGUGAGUAACACGUGGGUAACCUGCCUUAUAGUGGGGGAUAGCCUUUCGAAAGGAAGAUUAAUACCGCAUAAGAUUGUAGUAUCGCAUGAUAUAGCAAUUAAAGGAGCAAUUCGCUAUAAGAUGGACCCGCGUCGCAUUAGCUAGUUGGUGAGGUAAUGGCUCACCAAGGCGACGAUGCGUAGCCGACCUGAGAGGGUGAUCGGCCACAUUGGGACUGAGACACGGCCCAGACUCCUACGGGAGGCAGCAGUGGGGAAUAUUGCACAAUGGGCGAAAGCCUGAUGCAGCAACGCCGCGUGAGUGAUGACGGCCUUCGGGUUGUAAAACUCUGUCUUCAGGGACGAUAAUGACGGUACCUGAGG